UACGUAGGGGGCAAGCGUUGUCCGGAUUUAUUGGGCGUAAAGAGCGUGUAGGCGGCUUCACAGGUCCGCUGUGAAAACUCGAGGCUCAACCUCAAGCUGUCGGUGGAAACCGUGUGGCUAGAGUCCGGAAGAGGAGAGUGGAAUUCCCGGUGUAGCGGUGAAAUGCGCAGAUAUCGGGAAGAACACCCGUGGCGAAGGCGGCUCUCUGGGACGGUACUGACGCUGAGACGCGAAAGCGUGGGGAGCGAACAGG
rnacentral:rRNA from 1 species